rnacentral:rRNA from 1 species
UACGUAGGGGGCAAGCGUUGUCCGGAAUCAUUGGGCGUAAAGAGCGUGUAGGCGGCCUGGUAAGUCCGCUGUGAAAGUCCAGGGCUCAACCCUGGAAUGCCGGUGGAAACUGUCAGGCUCGAGUCCGGAAGAGGCGAGUGGAAUUCCUGGUGUAGCGGUGAAAUGCGCAGAUAUCAGGAGGAACACCAAUGGCGAAGGCAGCUCGCUGGGACGUAACUGACGCUGAGACGCGAAAGCGUGGGGAGCAAACAGG